rnacentral:misc_RNA from 1 species
CACAAUAAACAUAUGAAGGCUGUACCGCAGGCUGUGCUCGGGCAGUGCUGGAGCUGAUUAUUAUUACCCUUGUCUUUUGCGCACUUGUUGUUUCCUGGGCGGGUUCGCCCGCCUACCAGGACCACAUCAUAAACCUUUUUUAUGCAGUUGCAAUCAGCGUCAGUACUAACAAAUGUAAAUCAUUUA